rnacentral:tRNA from 1 species
UACAAGAUGGUUGAAAUAAACAAUAAACUGUAAAUUUAUAUAUGGGUAUUUACCCUCUUGUGU